rnacentral:rRNA from 1 species
UGGGGAAUAUUGGACAAUGGGCGCAAGCCUGAUCCAGCCAUGCCGCGUGGGUGAAGAAGGCCUUAGGGUUGUAAACCCCUUUCAGCGGGGAAGAUAAUGACGGUACCCGCAGAAGAAGCCCCGGCUAACUCCGUGCCAGCAGCCGCGGUAAUACGGAGGGGGCUAGCGUUGUUCGGAAUUACUGGGCGUAAAGCGCGCGUAGGCGGACUUUCAAGUCAGGGGUGAAAUCCCGAGGCUCAACCUCGGAACUGCCUUUGAUACUGAUCGUCUUGAGUCCGAGAGAGGUGAGUGGAAUUCCUAGUGUAGAGGUGAAAUUCGUAGAUAUUAGGAAGAACACCAGUGGCGAAGGCGGCCUCCUGGACUAAUACUGACGCUGAGGUGCGAAAGCGUGGGGAGCAAACAGGAUUAGAUACCCCUGUAGUCC